rnacentral:ribozyme from 11 species
CAAAGAAAGAAAACAACGGAAGAGAAUGAAGAAAGAGAAAAAGGGAAAGAAAAGACGACUUAGCCUGUCUGUCUAUUUGUCUAUUUCUCUUUCUCUCUCUCUCUCUCU